GUUUUUUUUUUCAAGCAGAAGACGGCAUACGAGAUGUGACUGGAGUUCAGACGUGUGCUCUUCCGAUCUCUCCACCCAGACUCAUCCAUUAAUUCCCAUAUAGAGAGUUUCUGUUGGUGCUUAGAUGUGAUGCCGAGCCGAUUGUGGUGAAGUGGAUGAUCCUAUGCUGCCGAGAAAAGCCUCUAGUGAGUGUUGUGGCGGCCCGUACCCUAAACCGACUCAGGUGGUCAGGUAGAGAAUACCAAGGCGAUCGGGUGAACCGUGGUUAAGGAACUCGGCAAAUUGCCCCCGUAACUUCGGGAGAAGGGGGACCUCUGUUGGUGAUGGGCUUUACGCCUGGAGCUGGUGGGGGUCCCAGUGGCCAGGGGGAAGCGACUGUUUACUAAAAACACAGGUCCGUGCGAAGUCGUAAGACGAUGUAUACGGACUGACGCCUGCCCGGUGCCGGAACGUUAAGGGGACCGCUUAGCUGACGUGAGUUGGCGAAGGUGAGAACUUAAGCGCCGGUAAACGGCGGUGGUAACUAUAACCAUCCUAAGGUAGCGAAAUUCCUUGUCGGGUAAGUUCCGACCUGCACGAAUGGCGUAACGACUUCCCCGCUGUCUCAACCGCAGACCCGGCGAAAUUGCACUACGAGUAAAGAUGCUCGUUUCGCGCAGCAGGACGGAAAGACCCCGGGACCUUCACUACAGCUUGACAUUGGCGUUUGGAACGUCUUGUGUAGGAUAGGUGGGAGACUGGGAAGCUGUCACGCUAGUGAUGGUGGAGUCAUUGGUGAAAUACCACUCUGGUCGUUUUGAACGUCUAACUCUGGUCCGUGAUCCGGAUCGGGGACAGUGUCUGGUGGGUAGUUUAACUGGGGCGGUUGCCUCCUAAAGAGUAACGGAGGCGCCCAAAGGUUCCCUCAGCCUGGUUGGCAAUCAGGUGUUGAGUGUAAGUGCACAAGGGAGCUUGACUGUGAGACUGACAGGUCGAGCAGGAGCGAAAGCUGGGACUAGUGAUCCGGCAUCGGCGUGUGGAAGCGGUGUCGCUUAACGGCUAAAAGGUACCCCGGGGAUAACAGGCUGAUCUUCCCCAAGAGUCCAUAUCGACGGGAUGGUUUGGCACCUCGAUGUCGGCUCGUCGCAUCCUGGGGCUGGAGUAGGUCCCAAGGGUUGGGCUGUUCGCCCAUUAAAGCGGUACGCGAGCUGGGUUUAGAACGUCGCGAGACAGUUCGGUCCCUAUCCGCUGCGCGCGCAGGAGACUUGAAGGGGGCUGUCCCUAAUACGAGAGGACCGGGACGGACGAACCUCUGGUGUGCCAGUUGUACCGCCAGGUGCACGGCUGGUUGGCUACGUUCGGAAGGGAUAACCGCUGAAAGCAUCUAAGCGGGAAGCUCGCCUUGAGAUGAGGUCUCCCACCACGAGAGUGGGUAAGGCUCCCGGUAGACGACCGGGUUGAUAGGCCGGAGGUGGAAGCACGGUAACGUGUGGAGCUGACCGGUACUAAUAGGCCGAGGACUUGACCAC
rnacentral:rRNA from 1 species